rnacentral:rRNA from 1 species
AUUGAACGCUGGCGGCAUGCCUUACACAUGCAAGUCGAACGGCAGCGGACCUUCGGGUGCCGGCGAGUGGCGAACGGGUGAGUAAUAUAUCGGAACGUACCUUUCAGUGGGGGAUAACGUAGCGAAAGUUACGCUAAUACCGCAUAUUCUGUGAGCAGGAAAGCAGGGGAUCGCAAGACCUUGCGCUGAUUGAGCGGCCGAUAUCAGAUUGGCUAGUUGGUGAGGUAAAGGCUCACCAAGGCGACGAUCUGUAGCGGGUCUGAGAGGAUGAUCCGCCACACUGGAACUGAGACACGGUCCAGACUCCUACGGGAGGCAGCAGUGGGGAAUUUUGGACAAUGGGGGCAACCCUGAUCCAGCCAUGCCGCGUGAGUGAAGAAGGCCUCGGUUGUAAG